GCAUGUUUCUUUGUUUGCAUGUUUUUUUUUUUUUUUUUUUUUUUUUUAACCCCACUGUUUGUAGAUCUUUUGAAA
rnacentral:ribozyme from 14 species